CGGGGUAUAGCUCAGCUUGGCUAGAGCGCACGAUUCGGGUUCGUGAGGCCGCAGGUUCGAAUCCUGCUACCCCGACCA
rnacentral:tRNA from 1 species